rnacentral:rRNA from 1 species
UACGUAGGGUGCAAGCGUUAAUCGGAAUUACUGGGCGUAAAGCGUGCGCAGGCGGCUUUGCAAGACAGAUGUGAAAUCCCCGGGCUCAACCUGGGAAUUGCAUUCGAGACUGCAAGGCUUGGGUGCGGAAGAGGGAAGCGGAAUUUCCGGUGUAGCGGUGAAAUGCGUAGAUAUCGGAAGGAACAUCAGUGGCGAAAGCGGCUUCCUGGUCCAGCACCGACGUUCAGGCACGAAAGCGUGGGGAGCAAACAGG